rnacentral:rRNA from 1 species
CAGUAGGGAAUCUUCCACAAUGGGCGCAAGCCUGAUGGAGCAACACCGCGUGAGUGAAGAAGGGUUUCGGCUCGUAAAGCUCUGUUGUUAAAAGAAGAACACGUAUGAGAGUAACUGUUCAUACGUUGACGGUAUUUAACCAGAAAGUCACGGCUAACUACGUGCCAG